rnacentral:lncRNA from 1 species
UUACUAAGAACAUCACGGACUACCAAAACAAUCAACAGGUCAGUCCCAGAUCAAAGAAAACUCGAUUGCUUCUUUGAAGCAAGGAUGAUCAGGCAGACACAUACUUUGAGUAUGCAAUAUGAGCGCAGGAAACAAGGACAAGAUAAAAAUAUUGUAGAAUUCUGGGGAGAAAUUCAGUAAAAAUAGGAAAAAAAAGGAUAAGGAUAAAGAUAAAGACAAAGACAAAGAAGACCAAAAUCUUUUUUCCCUGAAGUCUGGGUGAAUAUUUAUAAUUGUAUUCAAUAGCANAAUCUAAUUCUUCUGAGACUUGAAGGAAUUGAAGUGCUAGAUAUACUGAAAUAUUGGUGUCCAAAAUAUGUCUUAAGNUGUAACACGUGUAAACUACACCUGAAAUCACAAGGAAGGAAANAUACUGGUGUCCCAGCAAGAUAUGAUCUGGAAAACAUCCAUUCAGAAGACCAUCCUAAGGACAGUUUUGGAAGCGUAGACUAUGCCAAGGAGAGCUUGAGNAUCUCUAGGGACAAAAAUGUUAAGGAGACCUCCUUUCCUUCAACGAAGCAAAGCUNUUCCAAAAAUCAAAGGAGAGGAAAGGAUGGAAACUUUGGAGCGGAGAAGCAAGAGAAGCCAAUGUUGGUUGACCGUCUAGCAGAAGAAGCUGAUGGGGGACCUUCCAGGUCCCACAGUGCAACGCAGCAGGGGCCNAAAAGAAGUCUGGAAUCAGCAACAAGCGCUGGAGAUUUCCUGGCCCCCGGAGAAGNGGCUUUUCCUUCCACAGAAGGGGAGGCCAUUUUGCGAAGUAGCAGCGCCAGUUGCGGCAGAGUCAAGUAUUGAAGAGAAGCCGUACAGGUCAACGCAGCAGGAGGGAAGAGAUUUCUCGGCCCCUGGAGAACGGCUUUUUCUUCCACCAGAAGGGGAGGCCCUUUCGUNGAGAAGCAGAGCCAGAAGUGGUAUGAAGCUACCUCCCCCAUCUGUGGUAAGGGGGAGCAUGUGGUAAGGAUCCUGAAUUUCUACCGUCCGAAGACCNUGCAGUCAGGAUACGAGAUCCACAAGCUCACCAGAAGACACCAGAAAGAAACGCGAAAUCAGCCACAAGCACUGGAGAUUUCACGGUCCCUGGAGAAGCGCCUUUUCAUUCCAGAGGAAGGGGAGGCCAUUUUGUCCAGGAAGCUGUGUCAACUGCUGUAGAGUCCAGCAUGGGAAGACCCUGUUGCUGCCAGUCUCUGGAGACAGCUCUGAGGGAAAGAGGCCAAGGGGCAGAAGUGGCAUAAAGCUAGCUUCCCCUCCUAGCCUCGCUCUGAAACUCAGUGGCACUGAGAAUGUGGUAAGGACUCUGAAUUU